AUGUGCUUGACAGGGGAAGGCCCCACCGACGCCACGGAAGAGGUCUCCGUGGCCGCCGCCACUGUGAUGAGCAGCCGACAGUCUUGCCCUACGGGGCCCGUCGUAGAAGAUGUCGACGGCAACGGGGACCUGGCCAACAUCACCUCCAUCAUCCUGGAUGCCCUGAUUGUUGAGCACCUUCAUGGGGUUACCGAUACUUAUGAGGUCCCACGGCUUCUACCCCUGCACCGCCACAUCGAUAUUGGUGACGGAAUUAACCUCAAUGAUGUGGAGUCCGAUUGGGGAGUCACAACUAUUGGUCAAUUGAUAUUCUGGGAUCAUUCCUUGCGCGUCCAUGGAAAUUCUUCCAUCCUUGCUAUUAGCCCCAAACCCGAUUCAGCGGUCUUUGGACGUGGAGACUCUUUGUUUCAUUUGAGAUGGUGCCAUAUCGACAAGUGCCCUAAGAUUCAUGUAGUUUUCGCCUCUUGCACCAACGAGUGGUCUUAUUCCUUUCCUCAUUUGGAGACCAUCUGGGUGACCAAUCUCCCAAUGGCUGGCUGCAUUUGGAGCAAAGGAAUGAUUGGGGCAUUUGAGGAAGAAUCUGUUAUUAGGGAACUGCGGAGCAUACACUUGCAGAACUGCCCAAGGCUCAAGUUUGUCCUCCCAAUCUCAUCAUUCAUAUUACCCAGCCUGGAGACCAUCCAAAUAGUCCACUGCGGUAAUCUCAGGCAGAUCUUCCCAUGGGAUGCCAAGAUGUUUGCUCCCAAGCUUGAGAAGAUCAGGAUAAGGGGUUCUUGGGGCCUUAGGCGCCUCCCGGCUGCGGGCCUCCACCAUGGAAUCAAUCUUCCCAUUGUGGACUAUGAGAAGGACUUGUGGGACAGGCUAGAGUGGAACGGUCUGGAGGCCGGGCACCACCCGUCACUCUUUGAGACACAUCACUCAUGGUAUUACAAGAAGGCAUUGCCUUGA
rnacentral:rRNA from 1 species